AAUGGGCGCAAGCCUGAUCUAGCCAUGCCGCGUGAGUGAUGAAGGCCCUAGGGUCGUAAAGCUCUUUCGCCAGGGAUGAUAAUGACAGUACCUGGUAAAGAAACCCCGGCUAACUCCGUGCCAGCAGCCGCGGUAAUACGGAGGGGGUUAGCGUUGUUCGGAAUUACUGGGCGUAAAGCGCGCGUAGGCGGAUUAGAAAGUUGGGGGCGAAAUCCCAGGGCUCAACCCUGGAACUGCCUCCAAAACUACUAGUCUAGAGUUCGAGAGAGGUGAGUGGAACUCCGAGUGUAGAGGUGAAAUUCGUAGAUAUUCGGAAGAACACCAGUGGCGAAGGCGGCUCACUGGCUCGAUACUGACGCUGAGGUGCGAAAGUGUGGGGAGCAAACAGGAUU
rnacentral:rRNA from 1 species